rnacentral:lncRNA from 1 species
UCAAGGAGUAAAUUGAAUGAGUGUUUAUUUUCUGUGAUCUCGGGCUUGAGAAAAAUGCAUUUCCAAAACACACUGCUGAAAAUUUCACCCAUGCAUGACCCUAUCUUUAUCUGAACCUCACUUCUUCUUAAAGCCGUCUAGGCAAAUACAUUUGUAAUGUUUGUGUGCUUAACUAUGCAUGUCUCUUACAGGGCUCUCUCGCUGCCAUGACACUCAAUCAAAACACCUAGAGUGAGCUGGCUGAGACCAGAGGGGGUACCAAGCAGAGCAAGGACAGAGGAAGGCACUAGGAGAGCGCCAGAAUUGGAAAGAGAGCAGCCAUUUGGAUUUGGGCAGGAAGCAGCCGAGCACAGCUUUGGAUCCUUCUUUAGGGAAAUCGAGUUAUGGAUUUAUGGUCCCGGUCAAGCUCAGCCCAACCCCAGGCAGGGGCGGGCUCAGCAGC